CAAUAGCGUAUAUUAAAGUUGCUGCAGUUAAAAAGCUCGUAGUUGGAUUUCGGGUGGGAAUGGCCGGUCCGCCGUUUCGGUGUGCACUUGCUACGCCCACCUUGCUGCCGGGGGCGUGCUCUUGAGUUCACGCUCGGGACACGGAGUCGGCGAGGUUACUUUGAGUAAAUUAGAGUGUUCAAAGCAGGCCUACGCUCUGAAUACAUUAGCAUGGAAUAACACGAUAGGACUCUGGCCUAUCUUGUUGGUCUGUAGGACCGGAGUAAUGAUUAAGAGGGACAGUCGGGGGCAUUCGUAUUUCAUUGUCAGAGGUGAAAUUCUUGGAUUUAUGAAAGACGAACUACUGCGAAAGCAUUUGCCAAGGAUGUUUUCAUUAA
rnacentral:rRNA from 1 species